AGAGUUGAUCAUGGCUCAGGAUGAACGCUAGCGACAGGCUAACACAUGCAAGUCGAGGGCAGCAUAAAAGUAGCAAUACUUUGGUGGCGACCGGCGCACGGGUGAGUAACGCGUAUGCAACCUACCUAUCAGAGGGGAAUAACCCGGCGAAAGUCGGACUAAUACCGCAUAAAACAGGGGCACCGCAUGGUGAUAUUUGUUAAAGAAAUUCGCUGAUAGAUGGGCAUGCGUUCCAUUAGGUAGUUGGUGAGGUAACGGCUCACCAAGCCGACGAUGGAUAGGGGAACUGAGAGGUUGGUCCCCCACACUGGUACUGAGACACGGACCAGACUCCUACGGGAGGCAGCAGUGAGGAAUAUUGGUCAAUGGGCGGGAGCCUGAACCAGCCAAGUCGCCGUGAAGGAAGAAGGAUCUAUGGUUCGUAAACUUCUUUUGCAGGGGAAUAAAGUGCAGGACGUGUCCUGUUUUGUAUGUACCCUGAGAAUAAGGAUCGGCUAACUCCGUGCCAGCCGCCGC
rnacentral:rRNA from 1 species